rnacentral:rRNA from 1 species
AUUGAACGCUGUCGGCAGGCCUAACACAUGCAAGUCGCGCGAGCGGCGGACGGGUGAGUAAUUUCUGGGAAACUGCCUGAUGGAGGGGGAUAACUACUGGAAACGGUAGCUAAUACCGCAUACCAUCAGAUGUGCCCAGAUGGGAUUAGCUAGUAGGUGGUGUAACGGCUCACCUAGGCGCCGAUCCCUAGCUGGUCUGAGAGGAUGACCAGCAACACUGGAACUGAGACACGUUCCAGACUCCUACUGGAGGCAGCAGUGGGGAAUAUGGCACAAUGGGCGCAAGCCGUAUGCAGCAAUGCCGCGUGUGUGAAGAAGGCUGUCGGGUUGUAAAGCACUUUCAGCGGGGAGGCGUUACCCGCAGAAGAAGCACCGGCUAACUCCGUGCCAGCAGCCGCGGUAAAC